AGACUGUGCGGUGGCAGCCAUGGCGGACGGCUGCGAUGAGGCUGCUCCUGGGUCUCGCGGCUAUCCAAGACCAUCGAGGGUCCCCGGCGGCGCCUGCCGUCUGCUGAGGCUGGGUGGACUCCUCUGCGGCAGAUCUCCUGUAAGAUGUGCUGGUAAGUGACGCUGCCCGGGGCCCAGCUCCUCGCUCCCAGAACCGGGCGCGCUGGUCACUGUUACUUCAUGGGGGAAAUUCUUACUGAAUCAACUAGUGACUUGGCCUACGGCUCCCAGGGGUUUUCUGAACUGUAAAAUACAUACCGAGAAUAAUAUUCAAGAAAAGGGGAUUUUGUGUAUAGAUGUGAUCAGCGUCUUUGUAAAAGGAAGGAAGUUAGUCCACUGCUACCGCCACAAUUCCGCCUCUGUCUGCCGGUGCCAAAUUGAAACGCAGACACAGAGUUUGGGGUAAAGGAGGGGAAAAAGAAUAGUUUAAUUGCUUUGCCAGGCAAAGGAGGAUCACAGCAGGUUAAUGCCUUAAAGACUGUCCCUUCCCCCCCACCCCAGUUAGAAAGAAUUGGAAGGAGUUUUAUAGCAAAAAGGAGAAAAACAGGUUUUCAGAGAGGAAUCAGUAUUGGGACAAACAUGCAUUCAUCUUUCUUUGGGUCAGUCUUGGUCAUCAAAGCUGGAGUCGGGAGAUUUUCACAGUGGUGGUUUUCUGGGUUAUUGCCUAGAAUAACAGUACUUGCGAAAGGGCCGUAUUGAUCAGAGAUCAGAACAAGCUGGGAAAGUUCCUGAAAAAACAUCCCAUGCUAAUAAUCUUUAACCCACAGGCCAUUGUGCUCAGGAUGCCUAAUCUUUAGCUUACAGGUGAUUGUGUUUAGGGUGUAACUAAGUCAGGAAGAAGAAUAAGCUGUUAAAUUUCAAAGUAUUCAUUUCAAAAAGAAGCGUAAGGAAUAUGAUUUUUCUCUGAGAGGUAUGAUAAGACUGCCUCUCCCAAGGCUGCUUGUCUUCCUCCCUCAAACAGAAAGGAUUGCUGUGUCCUUCUUACUAUCAAGAGUUGUCGGAGUUCCCGUCGUGGCGCAGUGGUUAACGAACCCGACUAGGAACCAUGAGGUUGCGGGUUCGGUCCCUGCCCUUGCUCAGGGGGUUAACGAUCCGGCGUUGCCGUGAGCUGUGGUGUAGGUUGCAGACGCGGCUCGGAUCCCGCGUUGCUGUGGCUCUGGCGUAGGCCGGUGGCUACAGCUCCCAUUGGACCCCUAGCCUGGGAACCUCCAUAUGCCGCAGGAGCGGCCCAAGAAAUAGCAACAACAACAACAACAAAAAGACAAAAGACAAAAAAAAAAAGAGUUGUCUCUGUCCAGGGGCUUCAGGAGGAAACCCAAGUAGGCCUAAUCCAACCCCAUGAUCUCUCCUCUCAGCUUCUGGUCCCGGCUGGUGCUCAGUACAGCUGAAUGCCCAGGGCUUUAGGGGCUUGAAGGAACGUGGGCUGCAAGCCUCCAGCGUGCUUGGGUCUGCGGUGACCCUGUGCAUUCCUACAGUGCUUGCAAGAAAAUUUUGAGAUGGUUUGAGGCCUUGCCCUGCUUCAUCCAGAGCAAGGUUAUAGAAAUUUCAGACACUGUUUUGCUCCCUUCCCUAUCUGGUGUGCUGGGCACUGUGCAGGUCUGUACCAUCUGAGGCGGUGACCACUUGACACAUUCGGUUAAAUUUAAGAUUCCGUCUUUCGUUCACACUAGCCACGGUUUAGAUGGAUGCUCAUUAGCCACACUUGGCAAGUGGCUGCUCUGUUGCACCGUGCACAUUAGAGAGCGUUAAUGUCUUUGAAGAAAUUGUUUUGGACUUUGGGUGUUUACCGUGCUCCAGGCUUGUAAAUUUUAUUAUAUCCUUCAAACGAAAGCCUUAGAAAAGUUGAAAAUGGGAGUUCCCUUGAUGGCUUAGUGGUUAAUGAACCCGACUAGUAUCCAAGAGGAUGCAGCUUCAAUCCCUGGCCUUGCUCAGAGGAUUAAGGAUCCUGCGUUGCCGUCAGCUGUGUAAGUUGCAGGCAAAGCUUGGAUCUGGCGGGGCUGUGGUGUAGGCCGGCAGCUGCAGCUCCGUUUGGACCCCUAGCCUGGGAACCUCCGUAUGCCUCGGGCAUGGCCCUAGAAAGAUGUAAAGGAAAAGAAAAUGAAGCUUGAGGGAGUGGUAAAGAUGGAGUUAGACCAGCUAGUAGGAAAUAGAGUGGAAAGGAAUAAUAGGGAUGGGCCAUGCCCUGGGGGAUAUUUACCAUUGGCAGGGAAACCAAAGAGAAGGAAGGGCCAGCCAGGUUCUAUAGCAGGGCCGAGUGUCCCCGGAGCUUACUGGGGGGCGGGGGUCGUUGCACAUUGAUCUUAAAGGAAGAUCUAAUAUAGCAGGGCCGAGUGUCCCCGGAGCUUACGGGGGGGGGGGGUCGCAUUGAUCUUAAAGGAAGAUCUAGUGGGAGAGAAGGGCACUUGUGUUGAUUGAACUCUUGUCUUGCAGACUUAAUUCUUAACCCGCCAGAAGUCUUCAGGGACCACCGUUAGGCCAUCUUAGGUCCAGUACAGGUGGGGGGCCACGGUCAGGAUUAAGUGUCCAGGGUUGCCUGGCCAGACACUGGAAGGUCAGGAUUGGAUGCCAGGCCUCUCCAACCCUACUGGCUCCACUCCUUUCCCGGAUGCCAGAUUGGAAGGGAGGGGUGGAAUCUAGAGGCAAUGGCUGGUUUGAGUCGGAGGGCAAUGCCAGGAUGGAGUAGGCAGCACAGCUCCUGAGCUCCUGGACGGCGGGGUCACACCACCACCCCUUCUCUCUUGAAGGUUAAGGCUUCUGGCAGAUUCGGGUCAGUCCCAAGUGCGACCGGUCUUCUGGGGCUGCCGUCCGCAGACCCUUCUCGCAUCCACGUACCUGGCGGCCUCCCUCAUCGCGUGCUGUUGGUAGGGGGGCGAGUCAGGCCCUGUACACGUCCUGACAGGCACCCGGCCCACCCCCAGCCAACUGUGCGCUGUGUUCCUGCCCCAGCACGAGACCUGUGGGGUGUCCGCGGCAGAAGAUGUCAGAGCUGGAAGAGACCUGAGAGGCGAUCCCCUUGGUGGGUGAUGGUUCUUCCGGGAAUCUGGUGGUUUGCGCGCCUUGUCGUCUGCUUCCAGAACAAGGAUCUUCGCUGUAUGCCAAGACCCAGACCCCUCUGACAUCGGAAUGACAAGUGGGAUAUUUAAUAAAACAGUUUCAAAUUUGGAGU
rnacentral:lncRNA from 1 species